UACGUAGGGUGCGAGCGUUAAUCGGAAUUACUGGGCGUAAAGCGUGCGCAGGCGGUUUUGUAAGACAGAGGUGAAAUCCCCGGGCUCAACCUGGGAACUGCCUUUGUGACUGCAAGGCUUGAGUGCGGCAGAGGGGGAUGGAAUUCCGCGUGUAGCAGUGAAAUGCGUAGAUAUGCGGAGGAACACCGAUGGCGAAGGCAAUCCCCUCGGGCCUGGCACUGACGCUCAUGCACG
rnacentral:rRNA from 1 species